UACGUAGGGGGCAAGCGUUGUCCGGAAUUAUUGGGCGUAAAGAGCGCGUAGGCGGUCCGAUAAGUCGGCUGUGAAAGUCAGGGGCUCAACCCUUGAAAGCCGGCCGAUACUGUCGGACUAGAGUCCGGAAGAGGCAAGUGGAAUUCCCGGUGUAGCGGUGAAAUGCGCAGAUAUCGGGAGGAACACCAAUGGCGAAGGCAGCUCGCUGGGACGUAACUGACGCUGAGACGCGAAAGCGUGGGGAGCAAACAGG
rnacentral:rRNA from 1 species